GGCUGGUUGGCCUAAUGGUAAGGCGUUGCUUUCCGGUUGUAGUUUCGCACUGCAAUGGAAUUUGGCAAAGAUUGCGGGUUCGAGUCCCGUGCUGGUCG